rnacentral:lncRNA from 1 species
UUCAAGAACAACUAAGAGGAUGUUAAAGGACAGCAGAGGGAGCCCCUGCAUGACUUAAGAAAACCGAAGGCAGGCAGAACAGAGACUUUUCAGGGUGCGAAGUUACACAUGGUGCCCUCUACUGGAGUCACUGGUAAAGAGUUUUGAUUUCAAAAAGAAAUUCAUUCUUAAUAUUUGAGUCCAUUGAUAUAUUCGAAGCUCUACUCUUCUCUUCUGGAAAAUAUCAUAAGAUUUGAAAAAUAUAGCUGCAAAGAGCAAAAGAAGAUUUGCAUCUCAAUAGAAAAGAUCUACAGAUUGAAUAUUGCAUAGAAAACAAUUUAUUCACCUUACAAAGAUGAAAGGAUGAAAACGCCCUGAGCAGUAAUAAAACUUCGCCAUUUUGGGGAGGGCCUCAAGAGGCUAUCUUAUCAAUCUUGGUCAUUGGAAAAGUAUCUGUAAUCUCAAAGAAAACUUUAAAUAUUGUCCAAGGAAAAUAUCCAAAUACAUCUUAAAAUGCCA